UAUUUUGUAUAUGGCUUAAAGCAAUUGUAUGCUUUAGAGCUAAUACAUGUUGCUGCUGUAGAUGUUGUAUUAUAAUUCCCUUACGGCAGAUCUGACCGCUAUUCAUAUACAAUUAACAUAAGUAUUAAGUAAAAUUUGAACAAAUUAUAUAUAAAAUUUCUGUCCAUUUAAAACAAAUAUUUAAUAUUUGAAAAUAACCUUUCUUAAAAACAUAAAUUGUAUGUUCGGAGAAAAGCAUAGGUAAACCGUUUAUUGGUACAUGUUGUUGUAAACACACCGCGUGCGUUCCUUUAAUUUUUCUUUUGGUUAAUAAAAACUGUUCCAUAUGCAAACAAGUUGACAUUUACAUUUACGAUUGACGUGUUUGAAACUUUGUUUAAAAUCUUUCUUCUGCGAGCACACCAUAUCAUGUAAGAUAUCUUAAUUUGCUCAUUAUAGAUAUAUUGACGAUCUAUUUGUGUUUAUUCAUGCCAGAAAAUAGUUUAUGUUGCUAAUUUUACCAAUAAAUGUCCGCUCGGAUUUCAGGCGGUGAUUUUGCUAUGGUAAAUCGCGAAACCAGUUGCAACUCCCAGGACCCGGAGGGUCAAUAACUGGGAGUUGGAUUAUUGCAACUACCGGUAUGACCACUGUUAUUUUGACGAUUUUUCUAUCGGUUCGUCGGUAAGCGUGACCACAUGUGACAACAGCGAUGCUAGUUGGAUAUAAAAUUGGUAGACGUGUCGUUGAACUCGACACAUUGACCGAAUCGCUUUUAGCAUGCAGUGCUUGUCAAGUGCCCAUGAAUUUACUUAACACUGUAGAAAGCAGGGAUUUCGGACAGGCAUGUGUUUUGGACAUACAGUUUAGCAAUUGUGGUGCAGUAAAUAAUGUGGCAUCUGGACGGAAACAUGGCAGAGUUUAUGACAUGAUCACAAAGCUUGCAUUUGGGUAAAUCAAAAACUGGGUGUUUCACCUGGGACUUUCACAUCGAAACUGGCCCUUCUCCAUGACCUUCAGCACAAAAAAGAAAGGCUAUAGCUGUUACUCGUGCAGCAAAACAGUGACGCAUAAGACUUAAAACUCGAACGGCAUUCAAAGGACAGUGCAAGAAGUACGAGUGGGACCAACAUACAGUUCAAACAUAGAGGACCAAGACGUUGAAGUUACAACUAUACCCCCACCUAUACAAAUUGAACAUAUGCUUAUAUAGGGUCUAUUUUGUGAAAACUUCACAUAUUUUUUCGUCCAUAACCAUUGGGCCUUGGGCUUCCAAAUUUGGUAUGUAGUGGCAUCUUAUAGUCCUCUACCAAGUUUGUUCAAAUUAUGCCCCUAGGGUCAAGUUUGACCCUGCCCUGAGGUUCACAAAAUUGAACAUAUGCUUAUAUAAGGCAUUUUUUGUGAAAACUUUAAAAAUCUUCUUGUUCAUAUUAGUAUGGCAUAGGGCUACCAAAUUUGGUAUGUAGUGACAUGUAAUAGUUCUCUACCAAGUUUGUUCAAGUUAUGCCCCUUGGGUUAAAUUUGAAACUGCCCCGGGGGUUACAAAACUGAACAUAUGCUUAUAAAGUGCUUAAUUUGUGAAAACUUAAAAAAAAAUUGUCCAUAUCUAUUGGGCCUAGGGCUACCAAAUUUGGUAUGUAGUGACAUCUUAUAAACCUCUACCAAAUUUGUUCAAAUAAUGCCUCUGGGGUCAACUUUGACCCUGCCGCGGGGGGUCACAAAAUUUAAUAAACGCUUAUAAAGCGCCUAUUUUUUGAAAUCUUAAAAAAUCUUGUUGAAAACCAUUCUGACUAUGGCUACCAAAUUUGGUAUGCAGGAACAUCUUAUAGUCAUCUACCAAGUUUGUUACUUUGGGUCAAAUUUGACCCUGACCCGCGGGUCACAAAAUUGAACAUUAUAUACGCUUGUAUCUUGCUUAUUUUGUGAAAACUUUAAAAAUAUUCUUGUCCUUAACUCUACAUCUAAGACUUAGGGCCACCACAUUUUGUAUGGAGUGAGAUAUAGUAGUCCUCUACAAAGUUUGCUCAAAUUAUGCCCCUGGGGUUAAAUUUGACCCAGCCCAGGUGGUCACAAAAUUGUACAUGUGCUUAAAUAGGGCCUAUAUUUAAGUAUCUGCACAUGCGGAGAAUAUUUGUUUCAGUAUUUUUUUCAGCAGUGGAGCGAUACAGGGCCAUCAUGGCCUCUUGUCUUUAAAUACACAUCACACAGUUCUAAAAAUAAUUUUAAAAUACCUAAUACAUAUGUUCAAUUUACAACCAACAACAUGGGUAACAGGUGGGUGGGGUAAUUUAAGAUGUUUAUAUGAACAUCAACAUUGUUUUUUCAGUUGUUACAUCUGAAAUAUUUUCAUAACAAUAUACAUUAUAAAUAUUUCUACGUGUAUCACAUUUCAGUUGAUAAUUUGAUUGUUAUGGAGCAGUUAUUAUAUAGAUAUGUUUUAAAUACUAUUACAAUGUUAGUCAUUGUAUUUUUGAAAUUAAGUCCAUAUUAAAAUGUCUAUAGCAAAAAAAAAUCCACGGUGACCUAUCAAUUUCUUUACUUCAUUUUAAUGCUUAGCUAGUUUCCUUUAAUUAUUGAGAACUUCAAAUGAAUUUGAAUAUUACAUCAACAGAAAUAUGUAUCUGUAUUGCAUGUUAUCUAUUUUGAACUGUGCAAUAAAAAAUUCAAAACAAACAAAAAACUAUUCAUACUUAUUUCUCAUUAUUUUUUACGAUUUCCAUAAUUUUUGGUUUUAAAACUGUUCACUAUGAUAAUACACAUGUUACAGUUGCUAAUCUAAUG